CACAUAAAUAGAUAAUCAAGACAUUUGCUUUUAAUAUUAUUAGCCAAGAAUUGAAAUAAAUUAUAAAGAUUAUGGUGAUCUAAACUUGGUAUAUUAUAUAAUUAAAUUAUAUGAUUAUAAUGAAGUUUGAUUAGUAUAAUUUAUACUAGUAAUUGAAACUAUGAAUUUAUAAUUUGUAGAUUCAUAAAAUGUUCAAAUAUGGUCUUCGGCUUCAAGUGUAUUGUAGAAUUAUCAAGAAUAUAUUCAAGAGAGAUUAAAAAUAUUGUUUAAAGAAAUGAGAGCUUAUUCAAGAAUAAGUGCUUGUAAUGAAACUAAGUUUAAAGUGUUUCAAGUGCUAGGAGCGGCGCAUCCAAGGCUCGAGGAGGACAACCGAAGCAAGCUUGAAGAGGUUUGAAUUCAAUCACUUAAGAUUAAGGAGUUGACGGCAUGACGGCAGACAUGGAGCUCCACAUUCUCCCGUUCUAUUAUAUGAUGAAGUAUUAUAUGUUGCUGUUUUUGGUAAAUAUAUCUUGCUACUAACCAACUUAGCCUCUUCCAAUUUUGGUGGGUCGAGACUUUAUAUAUAUUGGUUUAUGAUCAUGCAUUUUGAUGACGGCUGUGACCGAAUAUAUAUAUAUUUUGUUUACCGUAUGUGUAGUUACGAGCUGUGCCUCGAACACGUUAAUUAUACUUUUAAACUUGAUGGUUUUGUAUGUACUCCAUCUUUUUAUAUAUAUAAAUAUGAUGCUUAGAUAAAGUUAUUAUUGAA